rnacentral:rRNA from 1 species
UGCAGUCGAACGAGAAAGCUUCCUUCGGGAAGUAAGUAGAGUGGCGCACGGGUGAGUAACGCGUAGGUAAUCUACCCUUAUAACUGGGAUAACAUUGGGAAACUGGUGCUAAUACCGGAUACACUUCUUUACUGCGGGGUAAAGGAGGAAAGGUGGCCUCUUCAUGAAAGCUACCGUAUAGGGAUGAGCCUGCGUACCAUUAGCUAGUAGGCGGGGUAACGGCCCACCUAGGCAACGAUGGUUAGCGGGUCUGAGAGGAUGAUCCGCCACACUGGAACUGGAACACGGACCAGACUCCUACGGGAGGCAGCAGUGAGGAAUAUUGCGCAAUGGGGGAAACCCUGACGCAGCGACGCCGCGUGAGUGAGGAAGGUUUUCGGAUCGUAAAGCUCUGUCAGAAGGGAAGAAGUGUUAUAUGUUUAAUACGCAUAUAAUUUGACGGUACCUUCAGAGGAAGCACCGGCUAACUCCGUGCCAGCAGCCGCGGUAAUACGGAGGGUGCAAGCGUUGUUCGGAAUUACUGGGCGUAAAGGGCGCGUAGGCGGCUGGAUAAGUCAGAUGUGAAAGUCCAUGGCUCAACUGUGGAAGUGCAUUUGAAACUGUCCGGCUUGAGUAUCGGAGGGGAGUGUGGAAUUCCCGGUGUAGAGGUGAAAUUCGUAGAGAUCGGGAGGAACACCGGUGGCGAAGGCGACACUCUGGACGAAUACUGACGCUGAGGCGCGAAAGCGUGGGGAGCAAACAGGAUUAGAUACCCUGGUAGUCCACGCCGUAAACGAUGUGAACUAGGGAUAGGGG